GGGCCUGUAGUAUAGUAGUAAUACGCGUCCAUGGCAUGGACGAGUCAGGAGUGCGAUCCUCCUCAGGUCCACAA
rnacentral:tRNA from 2 species